rnacentral:lncRNA from 1 species
GGGAGAGGGCUAUGGCAAAAAUCCCACCAGCAACAAUGGCAAUUCCAAGAAAGGGACUGGAGAAGGGGCUGGUGGCGCAGGAGAAGAGAAUGGAGAAGAUGACGAGGAAGAAGAUGGUGAUGACCAUAAUGAGGAUGAUGACAAUGAUGACGAUGAUGACAACAACAAUGAAGAAGACAAUGAGGAUGAAGGUGGAGACGAGGAAGAGGAAGAAAUUCUAGAGGAAGAGAAGCCAGAGGAGGAUGAAGAGGAUGAAGAAGAAGAAGCCCUCCAGCCUCCAAAGAAGAGGAAGAAGUGAAAAAUGGAAAAGUAGGAAAUGC